AGUGAACGCUGGCGGUAGGCCUAACACAUGCAAGUCGAACGGCAGCACAGUAAGAGCUUGCUCUUACGGGUGGCGAGUGGCGGACGGGUGAGGAAUACAUCGGAAUCUACUUUUUCGUGGGGGAUAACGUAGGGAAACUUACGCUAAUACCGCAUACGACCUACGGGUGAAAGCAGGGGAUCUUCGGACCUUGCGCGAUUGAAUGAGCCGAUGUCGGAUUAGCUAGUUGGCGGGGUAAAGGCCCACCAAGGCGACGAUCCGUAGCUGGUCUGAGAGGAUGAUCGGCCACACUGGAACGGAGACACGGUCCAGACGCCUACGGGAGGCAGCAGUGGGGAAUAUUGGACAAUGGGCGCAAGCCUGAUCCAGCCAUACCGCGUGGGUGAAGAAGGCCUUCGGGUUGUAAAGCCCUUUUGUUGGGAAAGAAAAGCAGCAGGUUAAUACCCCGCUGUUCUGACGGUACCCAAAGAAUAAGCACCGGCUAACUUCGUG
rnacentral:rRNA from 1 species